UACGGAGGAUGCGAGCGUUAUCCGGAUUUAUUGGGUUUAAAGGGUGCGUAGGCGGACUGUUAAGUCAGCGGUGAAAGUCUGUGGCUCAACCAUAGAAUUGCCGUUGAAACUGGGGGCCUUGAGUGCGGCGGAGGCAUGCGGAAUGCGCGGUGUAGCGGUGAAAUGCAUAGAUAUCGCGCAGAACCCCGAUUGCGAAGGCAGCAUGCCGGCUCCACACUGACGCUGAGGCACGAAAGCGUGGGUAUCGAACAGG
rnacentral:rRNA from 1 species